rnacentral:rRNA from 1 species
CAGGAUGAACGCUGGCGGCGUGCUUAACACAUGCAAGUCGAGCGAAGCACUCUGCUUUGAUUCUUUCGGGAUGAAGAGCAUUGUGACUGAGCGGCGGACGGGUGAGUAACGCGUGGGUAACCUGCCUCAUACAGGGGGAUAACAGUUAGAAAUGGCUGCUAAUACCGCAUAAGACCACAGCACCGCAUGGUGCAGGGGUAAAAACUCCGGUGGUAUGAGAUGGACCCGCGUCUGAUUAGCUAGUUGGUGGGGUAACGGCCUACCAAGGCGACGAUCAGUAGCCGACCUGAGAGGGUGACCGGCCACAUUGGGACUGAGACACGGCCCAAACUCCUACGGGAGGCAGCAGUGGGGAAUAUUGCACAAUGGGGGAAACCCUGAUGCAGCGACGCCGCGUGAAGGAUGAAGUAUUUCGGUAUGUAAACUUCUAUCAGCAGGGAAGAAAAUGACGGUACCUGACUAAGAAGCCCCGGCUAACUACGUGCCAGCAGCCGCGGUAAUACGUAGGGGGCAAGCGUUAUCCGGAUUUACUGGGUGUAAAGGGAGCGUAGACGGUAUGGCAAGUCUGAUGUGAAAGGCCAGGGCUCAACCCUGGGACUGCAUUGGAAACUGUCGAACUAGAGUGUCGGAGAGGCAAGUGGAAUUCCUAGUGUAGCGGUGAAAUGCGUAGAUAUUAGGAGGAACACCAGUGGCGAAGGCGGCUUGCUGGACGAUGACUGACGUUGAGGCUCGAAAGCGUGGGGAGCAAACAGGAUUAGAUACCCUGGUAGUCCACGCC